rnacentral:rRNA from 1 species
GUGGGGAAUUUUGGACAAUGGGCGAAAGCCUGAUCCAGCCAUGCCGCGUGCAGGAUGAAGGCCUUCGGGUUGUAAACUGCUUUUGUACGGAACGAAAAGACUCUGGUUAAUACCUGGGGCUAAUGACGGUACCGUAAGAAUAAGCACCGGCUAACUACGUGCCAGCAGCCGCGGUAAUACGUAGGGUGCAAGCGUUAAUCGGAAUUACUGGGCGUAAAGCGUGCGCAGGCGGUUUUGUAAGACAGGCGUGAAAUCCCCGGGCUCAACCUGGGAAUUGCGCUUGUGACUGCAAGGCUGGAGUGCGGCAGAGGGGGAUGGAAUUCCGCGUGUAGCAGUGAAAUGCGUAGAUAUGCGGAGGAACACCGAUGGCGAAGGCAAUCCCCUGGGCCUGCACUGACGCUCAUGCACGAAAGCGUGGGGAGCAAACAGGAUUAGAAACCCGAGUAGUCC